rnacentral:rRNA from 1 species
UACGUAGGGUGCGAGCGUUGUCCGGAAUUAUUGGGCGUAAAGCGCGUGUAGGCGGCCGUGCAAGUCGGGUGUGAAAGCCCUCGGCUCAACCGAGGAAGUGCGCCCGAAACUGCAUGGCUUGAGUACCGGAGAGGAUGGCGGAAUUCCCCAAGUAGAGGUGAAAAUUCGUAGAUAUGGGGAGGAACACCGGUGGCGAAGGCGGCCAUCUGGACGGAUACUGACGCUGAGACGCGAAAGCGUGGGGAGCAAACAGG